rnacentral:tRNA from 1 species
GUGGGUAUAGUUCAGUUGGUUAGAGCGCCAGAUUGUGGAUCUGGAAGUCGUCGGUUCAAGUCCGAUUACCCACCCCA